GAGUAGAGAAGUGGUCAUCUCGCCACCCUCAUAAGGUGGAAAUCGCUGGUUCGAAUCCAGCCUCUCGCCA
rnacentral:tRNA from 1 species